rnacentral:lncRNA from 1 species
ACUUUAUCUUUAAAAUAAUUUAUACUUGUAACUGAUGACACUUUUGAUUUGUAUUCAUCUUUUUAUUUUUUAUUUUUUAUUUUUUAUUUUUUUAUAAUACUUUUUAUUAUACAUUUACUGUUUUAUUAUUUUUUUUUUCUUCGUUGCUGCUUCCUUCUUCGUUUUCUCUUACAAAUCAACCCACCGGAACAUGCGGAUCCUUACACUCUGUUUGGUUGGGGGUUAAAGGGGGGAUAAGAGGGUUAUCCCAGUUAUCCCCCUCUUUAACCCCAAACAAGAUUUUAGGGGUUAGCUAACCCCACUUCCCCCCAAGAAUAGGGGUGGAUUAAAGUUAAUCCCACCCCUAUUUAAUUUUUAAUAUAAUUUUAAAAUUUUAAUUUUAAAUAAAAAAUUUAAAAAAUUUUUAAUUUGCAAUCUUAAAAUUAAUAUUAAUAUUUUUAAAUUUUAAAUUUUAAAUUUUAAAUUUUAAAUUUUAAAUUUUAAAUUUUAAAUUUUAAUUUUAAUUAUUUAAAAUUUAAAUUUGACAUUUUAUAUUUGAAAAUUUGAAAAUGUUUAAUUUGUAAUAUUAAAAGUAAUAUUUAUAUUUUUAAAUUUUAAUUUUUAAAUUUAAUUUUUAAUUUUUAAAUUUUAAAUUUUAAUUUUUAAUUUUUAAAUUAU